rnacentral:rRNA from 1 species
UAGGGAAUCUUCCGCAAUGGGCGAAAGCCUGACGGAGCAACGCCGCGUGAGUGAUGAAGGUCUUCGGAUCGUAAAACUCUGUUAUUAGGGAAGAACAAAUGUGUAAGUAACUAUGCACGUCUUGACGGUACCUAAUCAGAAAGCCACGGCUAACUACGUGCCAGCAGCCGCGGUAAUACGUAGGUGGCAAGCGUUAUCCGGAAUUAUUGGGCGUAAAGCGCGCGUAGGCGGUUUUUUAAGUCUGAGGUGAAAGCCCACGGCUCAAACGUGGAGGGUCAUUUGAAACUGGAAAACUUGAGUGCAGAAGAGGAAAGUGGAAUUCCAUGUGUAGCGGUGAAAUGCGCAGAGAUAUGGAGGAACACCAGUGGCGAAGGCGACUUUCUGGUCUGUAACUGACGCUGAUGUGCGAAAGCGUGGGGAUCAAACAGG